rnacentral:ncRNA from 2 species
AGGUGUCAGAAAAGUUACCACAGG